AUGAAUCCAAACUCAGGUUGCAAGAACAACUCCUUAUAUACCGGUUGGGUAGCCUCCAACCUGAUGGCAUGAACAUUGACUUCUCUAACUUCCGUUAAUGCCCCUCUUCUCUUUCUUACCCCAUCCCUGACAUAUUUAGUUGUCUGCCUGUUCUCCAUCUCCCUCUGGUGCUUCCCCGCUCCCCCACUUUCUUUCUCCUGAGGCCUCCCGACCCAUGAUCCUUUCCCUUCUCCAGCUCUGUAUCACUUUCGCCAAUCACCUUUCCAGCUCUUAGCUUCAUUCCACCCCCUCCGGUCUUCUCCGAUCAUUUCGCAUUUCCCCCUCCCCCCACUACUUUCAAAUCUCUUACUAUCUUUCCUUUCAGUUAGUCCUGACGAAGGGGCUAGGCCCGAAAUGUCGACAGUGCUUCUCCCUGUAGAUGCUGCCUGGCCUGCUGCAUUCCACCAGCAUAUUGUGUGUGUUGCUUGAAUUUCCAGCAUCUGCAGAUUUCGUUGUGUUUAUCCAAGAUCAGGAACACCCACCACAUACUCUCUUCUCACUGCUGCCAUCAGGAAGAAGGUCAUUCAGCACCUGUAGGGUGAGAGCAGCUGAUGCCAGGAAGAUCGAUAAGCUUUUCAGGAAAGCUGGUUCUGUUCUGGGGGUGGAACUGCACUCUCUGGUGGUUGUGUCUGAGAGGAGGAUGCUGCAGAAAGUACGGAGCAUUAUGGACAAUCCCUCUCACCCCCUCCAUGACACACUGGACAAAGAGAGGAGCACCUUUAGCAACAGACUGAUUCCACCGAGGUGCUCCACUGAACACCACAGGAGAUCAUUUCUCCCUGUGGCCAUGAGACCACAAUUCCUCCUCCUUCAGAAUAUGCUCCUUGAUCUUUGAGUUCCUCCAGCAUUUCGAGUGUGUUACUCAAGAUUUCCGCCAUCUGCAGGGUCUCUUGACUUCAAGGUAUCACCAUGCUGAAGGUACAGAAGUCUCACACCAGGAGGUUCAAGAACAGCGACUUACUUUCUACUAUCUGGUUCUUAAAACAACUGGUAAAACCCUAAUCACUAUAGCUUAGCAAAACUAUGACUACUUUGAUCACUUUGUAUUAAAAUGUUAUUUUGGUUCUAAUUGUAUUUUCUUGUAAACAUUAUGUUUAAUUCAUAUUCAGUUUUUUUUGUGAAUGCUGCUUGUGUGAUUCUAUGUGUCUGUGACACUGCUUCAAGUAAAAUUUUAAUUGCACUUGUAUUUGUGCAAAUGACAAUAAACUCAACUUUGACUUUGAUCUUGGGAAGGAAGAGGUUCUGUGGUUCAGUCUGAGAGUUCAUUGAGGGUCAGGUAGUGGAUUGUUGAGAGAACUGCAUUUAAUAUGGUGCUGUGUUAAUACUUACAACAACAUCGAAAAUUCACACAAGGAACUCUGCGAACUAGGGAAAGAACAGAGGAGGAACAUUAUGUUAUAAAAAAGCAUUGGCCUCUGUUCCCCUCCCUUGUUAGCUGUAAAGUGCAGAAUGUCCAAAUUAAGAGCUUAGCCCUGCAGAGAAAAGGGGUGACGAAGACCCAGAACUCCUUUUCAUACCCAGACCUAACCUGACCUGUCAAUGUCAUUUUGCUGACCCCUUGCCCGUCACACAAUUUAUUUCCCACCAUAAGA